rnacentral:lncRNA from 1 species
AAUUGAUUUCUGACCUUGGUUUUCGGAUUGGUCCUUAGACCCCUUUCCUGAACCACUUGCAUUCGCGUUAUCAUGCUUUUUGCCGGAACGACAAUCCUUCUUGAAGUGGCCUGUUUUGCCACACUUCCAGCAUUCUAGUUUCGGUUUCUUGUUAGCACCGAAACUUCCCUUAUUGUUCUUGAAAGCACGCUUCUUUCCUUUGUUUUUGUUGUUACCGUUCUUACCACCCUCUUCGACCAUAUUAACCGAGGGUCCAACAAUUUCU